AUAAAAUUUCUUCCAACAACCUCUCAUUGUCUUCAAAGUUCCUAUCAUUCAUUUUUCCUCACAAAACACCAGUACCACAAAAACAGAAGCGCAAUAUCUAAUUCAAAAGCAACAACCUAUCAUUCAUUUUUCCUCACAAAACACCAGUACCACAAAAACAGAAGCGCAAUAUCUAAUUCAAAAGCAACAACCUCUACAGUUCAUCAGGUAUCCCAGUUCCAAAAAAAAGUUGGAAAAAAACAGAUCUUCAAAAAAAUCAAAGAGAAAACAUCAAAGUCCACCGUUCCCAGUUACAAAAAAAUAAUAUAUCACUUCCUCUCACAAUCUCAAAAUUCUCAAUUCAGAUUUUCGCUCCCAAAACCAGUUUUCCUUAUCAGAGUACUGUUUAAAAGAGAGAGAGAGAGAGAGAGAGAGCAUCGAAGACGUACCCUCCACCGAGGAGACGCUCGACAGAGGCAUUCUUAGUGCGGGUAAUAUCGAAAGGGCCAGACGACUCCUCGUCGUCUUCGAGGGUGGAGCUCUGUUGGAAUGGCUUCCACCGGCCUCCAAAUCCGUGUUGCGCUGGCAACCUAGAAACGAGGCCCAAUUAGACACUGUUCGGCUCUCGUAAUAGGCCCAAACAAGCCUCGGGUUGGGUUCAUAUCCAUGAACCACUUUUACUUUCCUAGAUUUAACGAACAACUCUUGACACUGUUGGUGUUUUCUUAGUUUGGAAAAAUACAUUUAGGAAAAUGACUGGAUUUUAGGGAAGGGUAGUCAUUGCUAUUGCGGUUAAACUAUACAGAAUAAACAUCUAACUAGAAAGAGCAAAACAAACUAAGAAAUCACUAUAGUUAAGCAACAAAGUCUAAAAACUGUUCCCAUUCAAAAGCAACAACCUCUUCAAAAAAAUCAAAGAGAAAACAUCGCACAAAACCCAUAGGCAAAAACACAGCACCGACCACUCAAAUCUGAGAAAAUCAAAUUUUAUAUAUAUAGAGAGAGAGAGAGAGAGAAUAAUUUGGUGAGUGAACAGUACUUACUAAUACUCUUCACUCACCAAAGUGUUUUGGUUAGAAUAGUGAGUAUGCUGGGAGGCUUUUUUGUGCCUUAUACAAUAAGUAUACAGAAUAAACAUCUAACUAGAAAGAGCAAAACAAACUAAGAAAUCACUAUAGUUAAGCAACAAGGAGAAUCAAACGUGGCUGUCCAAAAAUAUAAAGUAUCGUAAAAUAAAAGGGUACCGUUUUGGAAGGAUUAAAUUUAAACAAUAAAUAAAAAGAACAGUUCAUCAGGUAUCCCAGUUCCAAAAAAAAGUUGGAAAAAAACAGAAACCCAAAACAAAAGAAUCAAGAACCCAUCAAAGCACAAAACCCAUAGGCAAAAACACAGCGCCGAGACGCUCGCCACUCAAAUCUCAGAAAAUCAAAUUAUAUAUAUAUAUAUAUAUAGAGGGAGAUAGAUAGAUAGAAAAGUCCACCGUUCCCAAUUACAAAAAAUAAUAUAUCACUUACAGUUCAUCAGGUAUCCCAGGAAACAACAAGGGAAUCCGUUUCAUGGGUUUUUUAAGAGUUUUUCUUAGUCCCUACCAUCAGUAGUUAAGUACAAUAAGUAUACAGAAUAAACAUCUAACUAGAAAGAGCAAAACAAACUAAGAAAUCACUAUAGUUAAGCAACAAAGGAGAAUCAAACGUGGCUGUCCAAAAAUAUAAAGUAUCGUAAAAUUUCCAAAGAAAAAGUUGGAAUAAAACAGAAAUCCAAAACAAAAGAAUCAAGAACCCAUCCACUCUAGCACUUGAGGCGAUCUCUUGAAGUUGCUCAUUACUGUCGCAGGAGAGAUGGCACCGUCACACUCUAAUUACGUCUCUUCUCAAUACGCAUCAAAUCCACAAACAAAAUCGAGAGAGAGAGAGAGAGAGAGAAUUUCAGGGUUGUAUAGUUUACCGGAGCUGAAAAACGGUGUAACCAAACACAAAACUCUUCACCUGCACAAUUUACCUUCCCUUCCUCUUCCUCGUCCCACUUAUUUUUUUGUCUUUUCUCCCCGAGAAACUUCUGGAAAGUUCCUAAUGUGAAUUCAAAAAAUUCGAGAGCAAGACGUACGGUAGAGUAAUCAGAUGGUGGAGUAUUUGAUUAUAUCUUGAGCGGUAACAACCUGCAUCGCCAGAUCUCAUAAGAUGGUUCUUCCUCUUUACUAUUUAGCAUCCAUCUCCUGGCCUUGAGGCGAUCUCUUGAAGUUGCUCAUUACUGUCGCAGGAGAGAUGGCACCGUCAUUCUGUCACUCUCAAACACUCAUCUUUUUUAGUUUUUUCCCCCGUCAGAUUCACUCUAGCCCUAGAAAACUCUCAGUCUUAUUAUCAU
rnacentral:lncRNA from 1 species